rnacentral:snRNA from 1 species
CAAUUUUAUAACUUUGCAAGAGCCACUCUAGUCAAAAAUGAUUGGGGUUGAUUCAACUAGUCUGGUUGGCUAAGGUGGGUGUCCCUUUGCUCCCUCACGGCUCCAUGUGCAUCACUCCUGAAGCUGCCUGCUUCCUUGGAAGAGGGUUACCUAUUAGAUAGAGGGGGGGCUUUUUCGGUCAAGGGUAUAGGAGUAGAUGUACUCUCCUGCUAGAACCUCCCUAGAAGCUCUCAAGGUCUGUUUGCUGGGUAGGCAAGCUUCCAAGACUCCAGACACAUCCAAAUGAAGUGCUGUGUAUAGCAGUCUGCCUUUUUUU